rnacentral:tRNA from 1 species
CCCGCCGUAGCUCAGCCCGGUUUAGAGCGCCCGGCUGUAGAAACCGGGUGGUCCGGGGUUCAAGUCCCCGCGGCGGGA